rnacentral:rRNA from 2 species
GGCUCAGGAUGAACGCUAGCUACAGGCUUAACACAUGCAAGUCGAGGGGAAACGAGAGAGAAAGCUUGCUUUCUCUAGGCGUCGACCGGCGCACGGGUGAGUAACGCGUAUCCAACCUGCCCAUCACUUGGGGAUAACCUUGCGAAAGUAAGACUAAUACCCAAUGAUAUCUCUAGAAGACAUCUAGAAGGAGAUUAAAGAUUUAUCGGUGAUGGAUGGGGAUGCGCCUGAUUAGCUUGUUGGCGGGGUAACGGCCCACCAAGGCGACGAUCAGUAGGGGUUCUGAGAGGAAGGUCCCCCACAUUGGAACUGAGACACGGUCCAAACUCCUACGGGAGGCAGCAGUGAGGAAUAUUGGUCAAUGGGCGAGAGCCUGAACCAGCCAAGUAGCGUGCAGGAUGACGGCCCUAUGGGUUGUAAACUGCUUUUAUAAGGGAAUAAAGUGGGAGCCGUGACUCUUUUUGCAUGUACCUUAUGAAUAAGGACCGGCUAAUUCCGUGCCAGCAGCCGCGGUAAUACGGAAGGUCCGGGCGUUAUCCGGAUUUAUUGGGUUUAAAGGGAGCGUAGGCCGGAGAUUAAGCGUGUUGUGAAAUGUAGAUGCUCAACAUCUGCACUGCAGCGCGAACUGGUUUCCUUGAGUACGCACAAAGUGGGCGGAAUUCGUGGUGUAGCGGUGAAAUGCUUAGAUAUCACGAAGAACUCCGAUUGCGAAGGCAGCUCACUGGAGCGCAACUGACGCUGAAGCUCGAAAGUGCGGGUAUCGAACAGGAUUAGAUACCCUGGUAGUCCGCACGGUAAACGAUGGAUGCCCGCUGUUGGUCUGAAUAGGUCAGCGGCCAAGCGAAAGCAUUAAGCAUCCCACCUGGGGAGUACGCCGGCAACGGUGCAAACUCAAAAUGAAUUGAC